rnacentral:rRNA from 1 species
CCCUUAGAUGUUCUGGGCCGCACGCGUGCUACACUGAGUGGAUCAGCGGGUCAGGUUGCGCGAAAGUGUUUCCUAAUCUUGAAAUCCGCUCGUGAUGGGGAUUGACGGUUGCAAUUUUCCGUCAUGAACGAGAAAUACCUUGUAAGCGCGGGUCAUCAUCCCGCGCUGAAUACGUCCCUGCCCUUUGUACACACCGCCCGUCGCUCCUACCGAUUGAGUGGUCCGGUGAGGCUUUGGGAUCUGAGCGGAAAGAGCGUUUCGCUGUUUCUGCUCGGAAAACUCAGUCGAACCUUAUCAUUUAGAGGAAGGAGAAGUCGUAACA